rnacentral:rRNA from 1 species
AACGAACGCUGGCGGCAUGCCUAACACAUGCAAGUCGAACGAGACCUUCGGGUCUAGUGGCGCACGGGUGCGUAACGCGUGGGAACCUGCCCUUAGGUUCGGAAUAACUCCCCGAAAGGGGUGCUAAUACCGGAUAAUGUCUUCGGACCAAAGAUUUAUCGCCUUUGGAUGGGCCCGCGUUGGAUUAGCUAGUUGGUAGGGUAAAAGCCUACCAAGGCGACGAUCCAUAGCUGGUCUGAGAGGAUGAUCAGCCACACUGGGACUGAGACACGGCCCAGACCCCUACGGGAGGCAGCAGUGGGGAACAUUGGACAAUGGGCGAAAGCCUGAUCCAGCAAUGCCGCGUGAGUGAUGAAGGCCUUAGGGUUGUAAAGCUCUUUUACCCGGGAUGAUAAUGACAGUACCGGGAGAAUAAGCGCCGGCUAACUCCGU